UUAGGGAGACCUAAUCCACUCAAAGCUCGAAAAACAAUCAGUUAAAUAGAUAUUGAGUUGGUCUAUCCUAGGUCGGUCGAGAUUGGUAAAAGCUUUCAAAGUAUUUUGAGUUCGGUUUAACAAUCAUAAAAACUAUUGAGAAUAGUGUUCAGCAAUAUGGCAAUUGCCAGACUGCUGGAUAUUUUCCAGCCAGAACCUUGAAAACUGCAUAGUAACGCGAAAAAAGCAGGCAGACACAGACAUUCAAGUAGUGAAUGUGUUUGCAGUGGUGAACACCAAAUGUAUAGU
rnacentral:rRNA from 1 species